rnacentral:rRNA from 2 species
UCUUCGGAAAGUAAGAUCCCUGAAAGAUGAUCAGGUAGAUAGGUUUGGAGUGGAAGUGUAGCGAUACAUGGAGCGGACAAAUACUAAUCGAUCGAGGACUUAACCAAAA